AGCAGCGAUAAAAAAGGUAUACACCAGUUCCCAAUUAAUCACUAAAGUUAAGCAAUGUUACGCGUGGUUAGAAUCGGGGGGGUGACCGUGUGGGAAAUCGCAUGUUUCUGCAU
rnacentral:rRNA from 1 species